rnacentral:rRNA from 1 species
UGGGGAAUUUUGGACAAUGGGGGCAACCCUGAUCCAGCCAUUCCGCGUGAGUGAAGAAGGCCUUCGGGUUGUAAAGCUCUUUCGGCAGGAACGAAACGGUGGUCCCUAAUACGGGCUGCUAAUGACGGUACCUGAAGAAGAAGCACCGGCUAACUACGUGCCAGCAGCCGCGGUAAUACGUAGGGUGCGAGCGUUAAUCGGAAUUACUGGGCGUAAAGCGUGCGCAGGCGGUUAUGUAAGACAGGUGUGAAAUCCCCGGGCUUAACCUGGGAACUGCGCUUGUGACUGCAUAACUCGAGUGUGGCAGAGGGGAGUGGAAUUCCACGUGUAGCAGUGAAAUGCGUAGAGAUGUGGAGGAACACCGAUGGCGAAGGCAGCCCCCUGGGUCAACACUGACGCUCAUGCACGAAAGCGUGGGGAGCAAACAGG